rnacentral:siRNA from 1 species
AUAUUGCUGCCUGUAACACAUAUC